UACGUAGGGGGCAAGCGUUAUCCGGAUUUACUGGGUGUAAAGGGAGCGCAGACGGAACUGCAAGUCUGAUGUGAAAGCCCGGGGCUCAACCGGGGGACUGCAUCGGAUACUGUAGAUCUGGAGUGCCGGAGGGGCAAGCGGAAUUCCUGGUGUAGCGGUGAAAUGCGUAGAUAUCAGGAGGAACACCGGCGGCGAAGGCGGCUUGCUGGACGGCAACUGACGUUGAGGCUCGAAAGCGUGGGGAGCAAACAGGAUUAGAUACCCUGGUA
rnacentral:rRNA from 1 species